AGAAAGGAAUGUCUGUUGCGCCCCUCUCAAUCCCUGAGACCCUAACUUGUGAUGUUUACCGUUUAAAUCCACGGGUUAGGCUCUUGGGAGCUGUGAGUUGUGCCUUUGCAUCUGGGAUAUUUGGUGGAACUUUUUUUUUUCUGUUUGUUU
rnacentral:pre_miRNA from 1 species